rnacentral:lncRNA from 1 species
UAUCCAGCAUCAUAAGAAGAAGCAUCAGAAAUCAUAUCUCCAAUCAACAUCCCACCUAAAGCACCUCCAAGCAACCCUGCUCCCAAUCCCAUUCCCAUUUUAUUCUUCUUAGGCUUCUGUGCUUGUGCCCCUGGAUAUCCAUAACCCGGUUGUUGCGGCGGGUAUCCAUAACCCGGUUGUUGUGGUGGAUAUCCAUAACCCGGUUGUUGUGGCGGGUAACCAUGACCCUGUUGAGGUGGAUAGCCAUAACCUGGUUGAGCUGGUGGAUAACCACCAGGUUGAGCCGGUGGGUAGCCACCAUAAGCAGCCGCUGCCGGUGGUGCAGGUGGAUAUCCAUAACCCGGUUGUUGCGGCUGAGGAGGAUAAGGUGUACCAUACGGCACCGAGCUAGACCCAGCUGCCGCCAUUCCAGGUGGAGGAUAAGCCAUCACCGGUUCAUGUUCGUUUUUUCCCUUCACCGGUUCAUGUUUCGACGUUGUUUUCAUCGCCGGAGCUUGGACUUUUUCGCCGAAUUUGUAAGAGAGGUUUAAGUUUCCUUUAGCUUUCCCUGAAGAUGUUCUAACCUGAUAAUUAACCUGCCGGAAAGAAUCUCCGGAGGGGUUAUCAAGAAGCUCCUUGAGAGGGAUAUGAACCUUGCCGAUCAAGGUAUCGCCGGCAACGGUACGAUCGGAGAUGAGUUUGACCUCGAGAGAGAGACGAUUCUGGUUAGCGAGAGAAUCGUUGAUGGUGAAUUUGACGGGGAAGUUCCAUGUAGGGCUUGUUCCACCGUCACGAUGCCUGUGGGUGGUGGCAGUUUGUGGGUUUAAUGGAUCGCCUGAGAUUGAAACGACGGCGUAAACGUCCAUCUUGGAGAAAAGAUUAACAUUUUUGAGAUCUUUAGCGGAUAUGAUGUUGAGUUCUAAGGUUCUAUAUUCCAUGUUCAUGAACAAAGAAAGAUUAAUAAAGAGUUUGAGAUUCGAGAGAUUUUGUGUUGUUGUUGUUUGUUAGGUUUUGUUUUGAUUAAUGAAUUUUGUGUGUAUAAAUAUAACAAGGUUUUGAGAUUUCUGGAUGUUUAUACGAUGUAACAGAAGGUAUUUAUAAUUUGUUACAGGAAACUUCCAGGUAAGUACUUUUUUAUUAGUAUAGUAUUUUACGCGUAACUUAUGUGUUAAUGUUAUUUUGUUUGGAAAAGAGGUUGAUCAUAUUUCUAAUUUUAUUUACUCUGUUAUUUAUCUAUCUGUUGAUAAUAGUUAUCCACAAAUAUGAGAGGCGGUUUGUGUGUGUGUGUUUUUUUUUUAUAUAAUUUAUUUACUCUCAUACUCGAGAUAAAUAAGCCUAUGAAAGUUGACAUUUUAGGUUUGAAACUGUAAUAUUGAUUAUUGAGAUAAACGCACAGCCUUAAGUAUACAUCACAAUACCGAACCCGAAGUUAAUGUUUAGACUUUUAUGUCAAAUCAUUAAUAAUAAAUACUUUAGAAGUUUUUUUUCUUAAAAAAACAAAUACUUUUAGAAGUUUUUGCACAAUACAUCAUAAUAAAAGUUGGGUUUAAUUACACUUUUGGUCCUCGUGUUUUGGCCUACUCAUGAAACUGGUCUUGCCCUUUUAAAAUAUAACAAAACGGUCCUUCAACUAUCAUUUUUGUUGCAUUUUUGGUCCUACCCCCCAUUUUAUUCUCCAAAAACGCAGAGAAAUGACAGUUUUAGACCUACCCCCUAUACUCAACCAUGAAAUAAACAAGAAAUAAAGCAGGUAGGUACAAAGAAUCCUCUUUAUUCAACACACUAACCAAAAAAACCCUAAUUUCUAAGAUAUGUUUCAAAUUACGGUUUUUUGGGUUAAUGUGCUGAAUAGAAUAGAUUCCAGUGCCCACAUGUUUUAUUCCUUGUUGAUUUCAUGGUUGAGCAUAAGGGUAGGUCUAAAUUCGCCUAAAACUGUCAUUUCUCUGCGUUUCUAGAGUUUGAAAAUAGGAGGUAGGAUGAAAAAUGCAACAAAAAUAAUAAUUGAAGAACCAUUUUAUUCUGUUUUAAAAUGGCAUGACCAGUUUCAUGAGUAGGCCAAAACACGAGGACCAAAAAUGUAAUUAAGGCUAAAAGUUGAUAUUUUCCUUUUUCAAAAAAAAAAAAACUAGUUUCUAAUUUUUUCAAAAAAAAAAGAAAAUUAGUUUCUAAUUUUUUUUGAACAAGUUAAAAUGAAAUAUAUUAACAAAAAUUUUGAUCCCUAACAGAUUUUUGUUGCGUGCGCUUAAUUGUAUGUCCAUUUAUUGCAUCUCACGUCUACUUUUUGAUUGAAGCCUUUUAUUAUUUUGACCACCCUGUAGAUUAAUUUGACCAUGGAAGUUGUUGUGAUCUUCUGUGGAUGUACAAAGAGUUCUUUAUGCAAGUUUCCAACACUUAAAAGUGUCUUCUAAACUCCACAAAGUAAAAAUCAAGAGUUUUCACAAAUGAUUGUUUAAGCAAGAGAACCACUAGUAAUUCUGAUAGGUAUUCCUAACACCAAACUCAACACUUGUUUGUUAUUAGAUCUACCAUGAGGCCAUAGUCUCUUUACAAGUUCAUCAAAAAUGGGAAGUAUUUCAUGGGUGAAGUAAAAGAGUUUUCUCAUUUCUAUAAAUGCUUUGUAGAAAUCAAACUCGUUAUCUCCUAGGUUUGGCAAAUCUAUCUUAGUUCUCCCAUGAUUUCAAGGCUUGGACGAUCAUGACCCAUCAUCAUGGAGCAAUGAUUUUAAGGUUUGGGUUAUUAUUUUCCAUUUCAAUUAUGAAGGUUCAGAGACGAAGGAAGAGUAACAACUGAGAGAAUGUACAAAAGGUUUUGUUGUAAAAUUGGAAUUGGAAAUUAUCACAUGUAAGAAAUUAAAGAGAAAUAUCAUAACAAAUAAAUAUGACUAAUAAUAAAGUAAAAUAAAAAUAAGGAACUUAUCGAAUUUAAUUGUCGACAUGGCUCCAUCAAAAUCUUCACAAAUUAAAUUAGAAGAAACCUGCAAAACAAUACACUGUUAUGUAACCUGAGGCGUGACAUAGUCACUGUCCUUGUGGAUUUUAUCCGCCUCAUAAGUACACAUCUUCCCAAGAUACAACAUGUUCUUCCCCGUUAUGAAUCAUAACCAAAGGUGACAGAAUAACUCAAAUUUAUCUCAAAGAUAUCAGGAGAUGUAACCUAGAAACCCAGUUAAAAAAUAUCAUAAAUCAACGAAAGAUUUUUAUUUGUAGAAAUUAUAAAAAGAAAAUCAAUUGUUUGUCUCCUGAGAAGUCACUUGGUUGAGAGUUUCUCUCUUCAACCUCGAGAAACUCGGUUUGAGCUCUGACAUCCAGAAAAAAGAAAAUCAAUUUAUUUAUAAAGAUAAAAACUUCUUACAAAUUUAUAUUAAUUCGAUGAAAUAAAAAGAUUCAUGAUAAAAAUGUCACCUAUCAACUAAAUUUUUCCCUAGAAAAAACUAAAGUUUUAUCUUUCCUUUUAAGAACAACUAUUUUUUUUUUAUCUUAACCCUCUAGAUCAUAAAAAAAAAAAAAGAACAUAGUAAUUUAAAAUUCGACCUGAAAACAAGUAAAAUCCAGGCAUGGAAUUAUUCUAACAGGAAUCGAACUUGGGGUAACUAUUAUUUUAUUUUUUUACAUUCGAAACAAAAAUCAAAUAAAUAAGUAGUCUUUGUAAAAAAAAAUAUAUUUAUCAAUAAAAUCUAGGCAUGAAUUAAUUUUAUUUUGAAUUUUUUAAAUUUACGAGGUCUUGUUAAAAAAAAAACAAUAAAUAAGUAAUCUUUGUAUUCUUCUUUAAAAAAAAUAUUCUACAUUUUGUCAAUAAAAAAAAAAAAAAAUCUAGAUCCGUUCCAAAAAAUAUUCGAGAUACUUCUUAAUUCUCAAACAUGAUUGAUAUUCACCACACUAAGUCACGUGUGAUGCAUAUGUAUGACCAACGCGGGUAGAGUCUUGAGACACGGCUUGGACGCGCAUUUGAUGACGUUGGCCCUAUAAUAUCCAUUUCCAUAUUCUUAAACUUUAAGGAAGGAAGUAAAUUUCGUCAACUCAUGUCUGAUGUUGAUAUUUUAAGCACACUGAUGAGAAUGAUUUUUUAUGUUCUGUAUCAAAUUAUUGCAUUAAUGUUUUUAGUUUUGUUAUGAGUUUUUUCAUAUGAAGGUCAUACGAGUCUUAUUUGUUGGGUAUUGGGCUCCCUUUCUAUGUGGGGAAAAGUUUAAAUAUGUUAGUCAAUUAUGUCUCACUUAUAUAAGUGGAAAGAUGUCAUAUUAUAAUGAAGAAGAGAGUGAUUUUGUGAUGAUAGUAGCCACCAAAAAGAGAGAGAAAAGAAGAGAGAAAGUCAAUAUCGUUUUUAUCACGUCUGUCUCAGUAAAACAAUGAUUUCAACUCGUUAACCGUUGGAUCGGGCUGAUUUCCUGGGUCUACCUUUUCACCGUUUGGAUCGUCGAAACAAGGCCUGAGCUGAGAGAAAUUCGCCACACACAGAAGCAGUACUUUUAGAGUAUUUUCAUCUUUUUGUUCUCAUUUGCAAGCUUUGUUGCUUUGUUGUUUUGGCUAGUUGCUGGCAGUUGGCACUAUUUGUGCAUCAUUUUUUAGACUCUUUUGUACCCAUGUUUGAUUAUAGUGGAUCUAUUUCAUUGGUCUGGACGACUCGUGGUUUUUACCCUUACAGUAAGGGGUUUUCCACAUUAAAACAUUGAUGUUCUCUUAUGUCUUUUAUUUGCUUUCACUGCUGUCGUUUAUUUGUUGUCGCUCCUCAUAGAUUCUUGCAAGUUUGGGGAAUUUUAUUUUCUCUGUAUAUUUUGGUGUGUUGCCAUAUUUAUGUGUUAAUUUCCCAACAUUAUAUAUAUUUAAACAGUAGGUUUAUCAUUUGAAAAUUUAAUUUCCCAUUACAAAAAUUUGAAAAGUAGGAAAGCUCUAUCAUGAGAAGCCAUAUCUGAUUCAUUGUUCUCGUUCCUUUGCCAUAGCAUAGCAUUAGCAUCCAAUCCAAGCAAGCACCUUUCAUGGAUGAAACCAACUGACUUCAAGAAAGUUGACAUUUACUUCACAUGCUUUGUACUUAAUUAUUCCAUAUUUUAUUUAGAAGAAUGAUUACGUAUAUUUAUUAGUAUAAAAACAUAUAUUUUAUUUUUAGGGAAUCAAGUACAUAAUUUUAUAAAAACAAAUAUAUUGAAGUAAUCCCCUAAAAAAAUAUUGAAUUAAGAUUCAAUCGGGAUCAAAUUAGAUACAAGCAUCUUACAGUCAUUCAUAAUAAGAGAGUACAUGUAGUGGGAACAACAUGGAAAAUAAACGGGCGAGGAGGAGAUAAGGCGGCUCUAGCAAUACUAUGAGCAACCUUAUUUACAUACCUCAUAACAAACGACACCAUAAAGUUGUGAUUACUUAACAAGAUAUUUUUACAUUGAACCACAAGGUCUCCAAAUUCAUUGAGGGGAGUAGUAGUAGAGUAAAGUGCAUUCACCAAGGAUCUACCGUCAGUUUCAAAUAUAACAUUAUGCACACCAUUGGAGAUUGUCAUCUUCAUAGCUUCUAGCAACCCAAUGGUUUCCACUUCAAGAACAGUAGCAGAAAUUUGCAAGUAAUAUGAUUUUCCAAGUAAAAUUUGCCCCAAUGAAUCUCGAAAGCACAUACCAUAUACACUACCAUGGAAUUGUUGUUGAAAAUAGAGGCAUCCACGUUGCACUUGAUCACACCAUUUGGAGGUUUCCUCCAUGAGAAGAUGUUGUCCGGCCUUUUGCAUUCAGCUCUACUCGCGGUGAACAUCACGGGCACGAGAUACGAUGGCACUGGGGUAGUAUCGAUAUAUUCCCAUAACUUCAGAUUGCGGCUCUUCCACAAACUCCAAAGAGUCAUGGCAGUUGUUAGCCUUUGAUGUUCUGUUAACCUGUCAAGUAAAUCAAAUAGCAUAGCCGUAAAAUUAUCUACCAUUUGUACCAUAUUUCGGAUCAAGCUGUCAAUACCAAUUAUUUUCCAACAAGUUGUGGCCUAAGUGCAAAUAAAAAAGGUGUGCAUAUGCGACUCCGUAAAAAGAUUACAAGAUACACGUGAGUCGUCACAAGGAAUACCACGAACAAAAAGGUUAGACCGGGUAGGCAAACUUUGAUGAGCGAAACGCCAAAGAAAGGAACGAACUCUCGGUGGGACCUUUAAAUUCUAAAGGAGCUUCCAAGAAGGGGUGAGAUGUGUUGUGGAUGAUUCUUGCAAGAGAUCGAUGCAUAUUUUGUACGCAGAUUUUACCGUAUAGGAGCCAUCAAGUGUUGAAUUCCAGAUACGGCAGUCUUCACUUGGACAGUUAUAAAGAAGAGUGGAGAGAAUGACUGUGGCGUCCGAAUGUUUUUUUUUUAUUUUUUAAAUCAGCAAAUAUUAUUAAACGCCAUCCCCGCAAGACGCAAGGUAUGGACGAAACAAGAUACAAAUGGUGCCGCAUAUAGACGGUACACCAUAACAACCAAACAAGCUCCUGAAGAUAACCCACCAAAUCACAUCAUCACCUAAGACGAACACCUUAACAGAAACAAACACUGUAAAAAAAAAAAGAUUUGUGGUUGCAAUAUUUAUAUUGUGAUUGCAACCACAAAUCUAACAUGGAAACUUUAAAGCGGAGAAAUAGACUACUCUCAAACACAUACCAUCCCCAUAACAUCCACACCCUACAAAGUAAAUACCUAACUACAUCUCACAACACUUUAAGACAAGAGUAUAAGAGAAAUAAAAAAAGUCUGAUAUAAACUUAAAGUAUGACUAGUUCAUUUUGUAAUGAAGAAAUAGAACCUAUAUAUAGGCAUUACUUUGCUCGUCUUGCACUUCGAGAACACAACCCCAUAGCCUACAAUACUUGUCAAGCAAGAAAGUAAACAAACAUAGAAACCAUAUUACUUGUCUUGCACUAAAAGAAACAACGUUACAACCUACAAGACUUGUCAAACAAGAAAGUAUACAAGCGAAUGAGUCUCCUUGGUUGUCUUGCACUUUAACCUCUUCCUUUACAAUUUUAAGCAAUGUGAGACUUCUUAAACAUGUACGUUUUCAACUACGAAAACAAUCUCCACCUUAAUUGAAAAUGAUACAUCUACUUUUAUUGUCUUCACCGGUUCAAAAGAACCAUCAUACUCCACUAAAUAGAGUAUAAUCAUUUUAAGCUAAACCACUUCAAGAACUUUCACAUUGGGAAGCUUCUUCGACAUGUAUUAUGUAUAUUUUCAACCAACACCAACAUACAUUAUGCAUUUCUAGAACUUAUUUGCAUCCAAAACCUUUGAUUACCGUAAAAAAUAACUUUGAAUCAUCUCAUCCAAACAGUAUUGAGUCGGUGCUAUGCAUAUAUGAAAAUAAAUAUCAUGAAAAUAGGGGCCAUUCCUCCCAAGCUCAGCGCUCGGCUCACUUAAAGGACUAGACUUUUAAAUUGCACUUGUAGUGGCGAAGAAAGUUUACACUUUAGAUUGAAAGCAAGAACUUGUGGAUGGUGAAGAUUGCAUAUUCCUUUUCUUAAUGCUUAGACGCGUUGAAAGUUUGUGGUCAAACUGUUGCAUAUGGACUAUGGUCCUGAAUAUUAUCACUUUCCUAUAUAUGUCUAUCAUCUAAUUUUAUAAUAUUGUGGUCGUUAUUAGUAUAUUAAACUGUACUUGCAGAAAAGCACAAUAACAUAAUUUAAGUUUAGACUGUUUAUGAGAUGCAUUGAAAGUGCUCCUAAGGUGGUAUUCAUAGUCUCUUUAUGAGUUUAUUUUAGCGUGACUUCAGUCCCAAGGAAGUUGGGCCUUUGGUCUUUUAGGCGGUUUCUAGAAGCUAAGAAAGGCGGCGUCCUAGGAAGGACGCGCCUAGAUCUCAGGAGCCCUUCUGGAGGGCGUCUGAGCCUUUUUAGAGGACUUUAAGCCUUUCUAGAGGGUUUUUAAGCUUUUAAGAAUAUUAUGACGGUCCAUAAAUCAAAUUUGUGACUAAUUUUCAUUUAAGUGUUUUCAUUCUUCAAUAAAAAAAGAAUGCAAUUUUUUUUCACAAUUCUUUGUGUGUGACUAGAUAACCAAUAUAGUUGCUUCUUUUAAUAUGAAUCACACAUGUAGAUAAUCAUGAUUUAAAAGAUUCUAAAAGAAUCCCCGCUCCCUUUUCCAAAGUUUUGGAUGAGAGGAAGUUUGUGUUUCCAUUCAUGAUUUGGUUGAUAAAGACGAUUUAACAGUGACAAAUUAAAAGGGUAUUGAUAUCAUAUAUAAAAAUUUAGAUUUCAUAACUAAAUACUACUUUGCCUAAAAAAAAAAUAAAAAAAAAACUAAAUACUACUUGUACAUUAUUCAUGUGUUGUGACAAGUAACUUUUCCAAAAAGAAUUGUAUAUCUUGGUUAAAAAAUGUACAUUUGCAUCCCUUUGGAGAUAAAAUCUUUGAUGAGCAUAACCCUAAAUUAAAAUGAUUUGGGCACACUUACAAAACAUAAAAAAAUAAUUGAUGUGAUUGAUUUAUUUUUGUUUUAAUUUUUUUCAUUUUAUGCAAGUGUGUCUAAAUCUUUUUAAUUUAGGGUUAGUGACUGUAUUAGACUUUCUCUCAUUUGGAUCUUCUCUAGAAUCAAUAAAUUCGUUGUUUAAACCCAAAGGCAAAUUAUUUGGAGUUUAACGGAGAUACAUCGACCAUGUAGUUUUACACCGUUGUCUAUUAAGAAUAUAUAAUCUUUUUUUUUUUUUUUUAAGAAACAAAAAUGGAAUAUAUUACUAUGAACACCGUAAUUGUUGAAGCACAAGACGUGCCAUAACAAUCACGAAAAGAUCACAACCCCAAAAUUACAUCAAAGAUAAUCGAUGCCCAUAAUUAAAAGCGGGCUCGACCACCAACUAUGUGUACCAAAAAUAAAGACUAUGUUACUAGCUUUCAACCACCACAAGGUUUGUGAUUUUACUUUAUCUAGCAAUAGUGAUAUAGAACUUUGACGAUUCUGAAAUAAUCUGUCAUUCCGUUCAUUCCAUAAAACUGAAACACACUGAAGCCAAAUCAAAUGAAAGAAGGAACGACAAGAUUUCAAGCCACCUGCAUAUUCAAUAAAUUGCACAAAAUGAUCUAAGAUAGCAUGAGAAUCUACCCCUUCGACACCAAGCCAAGCCCGCACCAUAGGCCACAAUGCAUCAAAAAUUGGACAAGACAAAACAAAUGAUUCACAUCUUCAACCUACCCACAUCCCGUUACAUAAAACCGAGCUUCCACAGAUAGAAUCCCACGUUCUACCAAAUUUGAUUUAGUAGGUAAACGAUCCCUCAACAGUCGUCAAGCCAAGAUAGAAACUUUUAAAGGAACCUGUUUAUGCCAGAUUAACUCCAUAGUUUGAUGAACAUGAGGUCGUUCCUGUGAUGUCAACAUGUCAUAUACACCACGAACAAUAUAACCUUUAAUCUGAUCCGGCAACCACAACCACCUGUCUGUUUCCUGCAAAGAGACUGUUAGUAAUAAAUCCAUACACUCUACUAACAAUUCCUCCUCCCAUACCCAUAAACGACGACGCCACUGCCCCCNCCCCCCACCAUCCUCCACCCCCAACAAAAACAUGUUCCGCACCGUAAUUACUUUAUUGACAGCUAAAUCAUAUAGCCGCCUAAAACGCACACACAACGGAACACUACCACACCAACAAUCUCGCCAAAUAUCGGUAUCGGCUCCAUCCCUCACCCUCCUCCACACAACCUGCAAACCAGCCCUCCCCACCCUCGCCUAUCCCAUCUCUAAUCCUAGCUAUCUCCCUCCACCACGAAGAACAACUCCGGCCCCCAUCCUCCAAACCACCAUCCGCCAUACCAUACCUAGCCAACAACACCCUACACCACAAACCACCCCUAUCAACUAACAAACGCCAACACCAUUUCACCAACAGAGCAAUGUUAAACUCUCUCAACCUCCUAACACCCAACCCUCCAUACUCCCUCCUCAAACACAAAGAACUCCAACCAACCCAAGAAAUCUUUCUUUUUUCCUCACAACCCCCCCAAAAAAAUUUAUUUAACAAAGAUUCAAUAGAAGAGAUUAUACCUGACGGAGCUUUAAAAAAGGAAAGUGCAUAAACAGGAAGCGCAGUCAAGACGGAUUUGAGAAGUAUCAAGACGGAUUUGAGAAUAUAUAAUCUUAUCAUGUAAGUAUAUAUUAUAACUGUUUUUUUAAAUAACCGACAAAUAUUUAAUUUUUAAUGGACGUCAGUAUAAAACUAAUUGACACUGAUUGUGUAUAUUUCUUUUUCUCAAUUAUUUAUUUAUUAGUUAUAGUUUUUCUAAAGAAAUUUAUUAUUACUAGUUAAAAUAGUAAAUAUUAAAUAAUAACCCAAGUGUUAGGGUUCUCUCAACAACAAAAAAAAAAACAUGUGUUAGGGUGUUAGGCUGUUAGCGGGUUGUGUGGGGUUGAAUUUCAUGGAACUCAAUAUUCAAAUCAAUCAAUUGACAUGAUAUGUUAAUAAUAUCUCUCAAUGCUAACAAUAUCUCUUUUUUAUAAGAAUUGACAUGACAAUAAAGAAGUACUUUAUAUAUAUAUAUAUAUAUAUGACCGUAAGUAAAUAUAUUGAAGCAUAAUAUUUUAACGUCGGAGACCAUUUUGAUUAACAUAAUGCAUAAUCAUAUACUAUUUUAAAAUUUCGAUACAAUGAGAGAUUAUUGUAUUUACUCAUUACACAUUCAAGGAUGAAAAUGACCAUUUGACCAGUUAAAUUUAAGCUUCAAUUUUAACAAUUAAAAAAAAUAGAUUUGUGAUUUGAGUCAAGUGAGUUUAUAAGGAUUUGAGUGUCGACCAUUUGUGUCUGGCAUAGUACUUACACUUAAUUUGCAAGAUUUAUUAAAUAUAUAAUUAAGAUUUUAAUGAAUAUGCUCGGUCAAUGUAGAUUAAUUUUACACUGCCAUCCUAUAUGAAUAAACUGUUUCUAUUUGACAUACCAUUAAAUUAGAGUGAAGUGAUUUGACGAAAUACAGAGUUGUUAAUGGAUGACGAACCACUUGAGGUUUAAACAAGUUUGUUAUGCUUGGAUCUCAAUUUGAAUGAAUGCGGGUAAAAUAUGAGUUUGAUUGAUUUUUUGAUCGGUCCAAUGACGGUCGAGGAAACAAAAUUGUGGUUUACGAUGCUCUGGUGUGACGGAGGUCGAGUCUUCAUGGUGGAAGAGGAAAUUGUCUACAAACAUGUUAGCACUUCAACGCUUAAACUAGUAAUUGAAAGAGAUGGUUAUGUGCGGAAUAUGGUAAAAGUGAAGUGUACCUCGAGGGUGACGCUCAAUCUCCCUUAUAUAGGCGCAGAAAGCGCGAAUGGUCUCCGCAAAAUUUGACACCUUCUUAGGAGGCCGUUGGUGAUUGCGUGAACGGUGGUGAUGGAGUUAGGGUGUACUUUUGUGCGGUGAUCUGCACAGGACUUCAGAUGCUCCUUCACCGUGUUUUGCCUUGUUUGUCUUGGGCUUUGACUUAACGUACCUUGCUUUAUUGGGCUUCAAGCUGGUCUGAAACAAUUUGAAUCAUCAGAAAAUUGCUCUUCUCCCUUUCAAAAUUACUCAUUCUCUUAACUCAGCGGAAGUUAACUCCGUCUAAGCAUUUAUCAGCGUGAAUUAUCUUUCGCUGACACUUUUAAGAUCAGUACAAUCACUUUUUAAGCCGAUUCAACUGAUCUUAAAGGUGCUAGCGUGAGUUAACCCACACUGAAAAAUAUCGAACGGGAAUUAACUCCUAUUAAAUUAAGGGAAUGAUUUUCGAAUCACUUAGUUGAACAAACCAUGCGGACCAUGAACAUCCUUGCCUAUUUGCUGGAUGGUGACAAAUUUGUGUAGGUGUUCCCCCCUUUGACACUGUAUUUUGUUGUUUUCCUGCAUAACACCAAUGCAAAUGGCUGGCUUCAUGUACAUUUUGUGACAUAACUAAAGUACUGCUUGCAAGUUGUACUUCGAGCUAUGAUUCUUUUUACUUUUAAAAACUAAAAUUCUAUUGUUUAAUUGACUAGAUGAGAGAGAAAAUAAUGAAAAAAAAUGUCGAAUUUGGGUUUUUAUUCAAUAUAUUUUGAAAAAAUAGUCCAAAAAUGUUUGAGAGAAGCUUAUCCAAAUCAUAAAACUCCCGAAAGGUCAUAAAAAGCAAAACCUGCCUUUCUUUCAUUUUACCCCUUGAUCAUUCUGACCAAUCGUAACUAGAAUUUUUUAUAUUGUUUUUCAAUGGCAAAGAAAGAGUAACGUAGUUAAUUAUUAUUAAUUAAAAUCAUUAUUAUUAGUUAAUAUUCGUCUCUGCUAAAUUCCUGCAAAUUCUCUCAGACGGAGGAAGGAGGUUACAUCGCCGCCAUCAAUGUCUUCUCCUUUCUCCAUCCCCACUUUCUGGUACGUUCUCUUCUCUACCAUUUCUUGCAAAUUUAUGAUGAACCCUAAUUUUUCUCAAGCAUUGUGUGUUGUAGAUAGAUUGUAGUUGGAAGGGAAAGAGGCAAUGGAGGAGGAGACAAGUCAAUGGAAGCAAGCUUUGAUUAAUUCAUCAGCUGGUGCUAUUUCUGGUGCUAUUUCACGGACUGUCACCUCACCUCUUGAUGUUAUUAAGAUUAGGUUCCAGGUCUCUUUCUACUCUUCUUCUUCUUCUUCUUAGGAUUUGUUGCUUAUUGUUUAAGAAUUUAUCAUAUAACUGUGUUGUUUCUAUAAAAAAAACAUAAAAUAAAGUUAUACUCUUUUUGCAUAGACUAUAGUUUUUGAAUAAAUUGAUUUUACUUCGAAAUGAGUUGAAUGUGAAAUGGUUUAUGUUUGGAUAUAUUUACAUGAUAUAUUUACAUCUUGAAACUUUAACAAAAUCAUGGUACUACCUUGAUUUUGUCAAAUUCAAUGCCAACUCAUACACUCACUUCACCAUUCACCACCACUAUGGGGUUGUUUGUUUUGGGGGAGGUUCAACAUAUGGUAUCAUGUAUUUUCACUCAACCCUUUCUUUUUGAAAGACAUAUCUUUGUUUCGAAAGUAUUGUAGUCAUUUAUUUGACUGCAAAUAUUUGCUUAAAAAUAAUUUUCGAUGUUUGUGUGAUGAAUAACAUACACAAGAAUCAACACCAUCUCUGGUGUGGCAAUAUGUCUUUAUGAAUACUGGCAUUUUUUUAUGGUUAGAAGAGCCGACUUUACCUGACAUGCUGAGGCUUGCUUACAGUUUAUCUUGUCUUGGUAAAUUGAAAGAGUGUGGCUAUCUAGCACUGGCUUGGAUUAUGAUGUGCUUUCUAUGCCUGAAGUUUAAAUUAGAAAUUCUGAAUUUCAAGCUAAUUUUUUUUCUUACAUGUCUGAUUGGGAAUAGAGUUAAUGUCGUUUUCCCCCCCUUUCAUUUCCAUGUAUCAUUUUGUUAGAUUACAAAGGGUCUAUUGACUAUUAGAAAAAUGAUAUUCAUUUGCCGGUGAUAAAAAAGAUCUUCAAUUUGCUUUACAUAUCAGGUAUAUCAGUCAUUUUUAUGUGAUUGGCAUCAUUUUACUAAAAAAAUAUGACCUCAGGAUGAUUCCAUUGACAUGGGACUACAUGAUGAGAUUUGUUUAUGCAUGUUGAUGUCUAGAAGUUUUGCAUGAGAUUUGAGGUUCUUUGGUUCAUAACUGGUCUUUAUUGCUUGCUCUAUUAUAAAUGCGAGUAGCAUUAAGAUGCUAUAACUGUUAUUCACAUUCAUUGACAGGUUCAACUAGAGCCGACUUCCUUGUGGACGUCACUACAUAGGGAUUUGUCUAAACCCUCAAAAUAUACUGGCAUGUUUCAAGCAACCAAAGAUAUUUUUAGAGAAGAAGGCAUACGGGUAGAAUAAUUCAGCUUCUGUAAUUUAUUUAUUUUAAUUUCCCCUAUACUCUACUUCCUUCAGUAACCUGUCCCUGUUCCCAUAUCCCUUGAAAAGGUUUUGGACUUUGGCUGAUGGCAACAUUAGCAUUUGAAACAACGCUUGAAUUGCAAAAAAGAUCUUGUGGAAGAUUCACAUCGACCUUUACGCCAUGGAAAAAUGUAUAUAACCAUUUUUAUCUGGCAUAUUAUAGGGAUUUUGGCGGGGUAAUGUGCCAGCUUUGCUCAUGGUUAUGCCAUAUACAGCUAUACAGUUUACUGUUUUACACAAAUUGAAGACUUUUGCCUCUGGUUCAUCCAAGACAGGUAUCCUAAUUUGUAGAAUAUUAGCUUGAUGAGCAAAGUAAACACUAGGUGUUUGUCUACUAAGUUUUUUUGGUUGGAAAUUUGUUUGGAAUAUGGUUAAUGUGACUGGAAGGUCACGGGUUCAAGUCCUGGAAACAGCCUCUUGUGUAAAAACAGGGUAAGGCUGUGUACGAUACACCAAAUGGUGGGACCCCUUCCCGGACCCUGCGUAUGCGGGAGCUUUAGUGCACCAGGUUGCCCUUUUUUUUUAUGGUUUAUGAUUGAAUGUUAUGGCGUACUUUGAUCCAUGUAGCCAUCCCCACUUAGUGGGAUAAGGCUUGGUUGUUGUUGUUGUAUAAAUUCUUCAUGUUUUUUACAGUAUAAUGCUAAAUUAAAAUUUUAUCUCAAUAAUUUAUUUAUUUUUGGUACAAUUUACUAAUAUAUUUUCUGUGCCAAUGUUCACUUUCGAGAUAUUAGUGAUUAAUUAAUUACUGCUGGGUUUCCUGUUCUAGAUUUAUUUUGUUCAUUGUUUUAAUUCCUGUUGCUGCAGAGAAUCACAUAAAUUUGAGCCCUUAUCUAUCCUAUGUAAGUGGGGCGGUAGCUGGGUGUGCGGCUACUGUAGGGUCAUAUCCAUUUGAUCUUCUUCGAACUAUAUUAGCUUCUCAGGGUGAACCGAAGGUACGAGCACUAUAUAAAAUAAUCAAGGUUAUUAUGAGAUAGUUUUGAAAUAAAUUACUGUCACAUAUAUUGGUGUGUUUUAAAGGCCAGUGAAGGAAAAUACAAGCAGCUAUCAUGAUCAACCUACAUUCUCGGUCCCAAUUUGCAUUUCCAUGCAUCAAGCCCAAAGGCUAUUGCCAGAGGGCAUUAGAGAUGUAAUAUAAACCAUUCUUGUGUAUUCACAUAUCAACUUAAGCAUUUGGGAUAAUGGAUUCAUGUCAACUUUUUUUUUCUUCCAAUUUUCGGGCGGGAAAGGAGUGUUCACCUUUGUUUGCUUCUUGUCUACUUAGUGGUAUUUCACAUGGGCUUUUGUCAGAUCUUAUCUCAUGUAUUAUUUUAGUGGCAUAAAAGCUAAGUUAAACCUUAUGUUUAGUGAUCGCCUAGAAAGGCACCACAACAUGGUUGUUUGUUGUAAUGGCAUUAAAGAAGUGCCCAAAAUCUGUUUCCCUAGCUCUGAUCUUAAAAUGGUUGUAUGGAAUAUACCCCACCCUUAGAUUCAUAUGAGAUUAUAAUCAGUAAUGAAAAGGGUUAGCGCAAUGAGGAGUUAUUGCCAUGCGACUGGAAGGUUAUGGAUUUGAUUCACGGCAUUAAUAUCUUGCAGUUGCAAUGUAAGACUGCCUAUAAUAGAUCCAAAUACAUUUGAAUCUUCCCUAAACCUCACAAUUGUAGGAGCUUUAUAGCACCAAUUUAUCAUUAUUAUAAUCAGUGAUGAGCUAAGAAACAUAGAUACUGUAUUUUUAAAAUGGUGGUAGACAUGACUGUCAUAUACGCAUAAAAUUAAAAACAACUAUCAUAUGCAUAAUUAGCCAUAAAUCUGAAAUCCAAAGAAAAAAUAAAAUGAGUUACUGUAAUAUUAUUAUUUAUCUAAUUAUUGUGGUAUUUUAAUCUUAAUUGGUAUAGAAGUCCAGAAGUAAAAAAAAAUGUAAAAUAUAAGUAGAAGUGUCCAUAAAGUGGCGGCGCAAAUAUGUAUUUGACACAGCUAUGACAUGACAACUACUAUUCGCUUCAUUUGUAAUGCACUGCGUUUGUGUUUCACCCUGCAGAUAGGUGGGGGGAACUCAUCUUCUACCCCUAGACAAUAUAAGCUUUGAGUGCAUAGUUUGAGACUUUUAUGGUCAUUGUGGAUUUUUAAUUUUUUUUUUUUUUUUUGUAUUUAUGUUAUGCUAAUAUUUCCCUAGCAUAGGUUUAUCCAAACAUGAGGUCAGCAUCCAUUGAUAUUCUCCAGACCCGUGGAUUUCGAGGCUUGUAUUCCGGAUUGUCACCGACACUAGUUGAGAUUAUACCUUAUGCAGGCCUACAAUUCGGCACUUAUGAUACAUUCAAACGUUGGACCAUGGUAAAAUUUCAGUCCUUCAAUUUGAGGUGUCAGUUUUAUUUAAUUGACAUAAAUAUACCCUGCAUGUAUUGGACGUCAUUUGGUUGUUGUGAAACAACGGUAUGGUCUUAUAUUGUGUCGUACUUAAUAUUCUAGCCUGCUUUUCCUUGUCUUGUCCCAUCAUAUUACAAUCUUCAUUGAUGUGAAAUGAUUCUAGAAGAACUGUAAUGUCUCAAGAUGCGUCAAUUAGUUAUUUGCAAUGAUAAGUUAUUGUUUACAAGGGUUACUUUAUGUUGUCUCAUAUUUUCUUCGCAUGGUUGAAUCUUACAGCAACCGAAGUCUUUUCAUACUACAUUGGAUCAAUCGCAUGAAACAAACAAUGUUGUAUCAUUUCUUGUAUGAUAUCUGGGAAUGGACGCUCAUGUGUAAUUUACACAUGAGAGAGUAAAGUGUAAGCUAUGAGUCUAUGACCAUUCAAACUCCAUCUAAAUUCUUCAUGUGUUUCUCUCUCUUAAUGAAUGGUGAGAGAUUACACUUUACUCUCAUGAGAGGAUCCAUUCCAGAUAUCUACAUAUAGCUCAUCAUUUUAAUCUCUCUUGAUAGUUUCCAAUUUAUUUGGUCUCGCUCUUCCUCUAACACAGUUGAAUCUUCAUUUCACUUUUAGAAACUGCACCAUUAAGCUGGUAAAUUCUACUGUGUAUACUUUUCAGAACUAUGUUUAGAAAUUAUUUUGCAAUAGCUAUUUAUUCUGCAUCAGCAAACCUAUACAGCAUUUCAUAUUCUUAUUAAAGCUGUGUCUGAAGCUCUACACCGUUAAUCAUGUUCAUCUCUAACACCUAGAUUAGGACUUUUGGGUCUGCAUUUCUUCAUGAUUAAAAUAUUGUAAAGAAAGUGGCUGACGAAGAAAGGAAACAUGGAACCGUUAAUACAAAAUUUGGUUCGCUUGUAAAUUGCAACAUCCAUAUAGAUAGAGUUGGGUUCCGCCAUAGGGCUAAUCAAUGCUUUGAUAUUACUUUCUAGCUAUCAAUUAUUUGAUCCCUGUUCUUUAAUAUUGUAUAUAGGCGUGGAACCAAGUUCAAUAUUCAAAUACUGCUGCAGAAGAGAGCAUCUCUAGCUUUCAGCUUUUCCUGUGUGGGCUGGCUGCAGGAACAUGUGCCAAGCUUGUUUGUCAUCCACUUGAUGUAGUCAAGAAAAGAUUUCAGGUAGAUUUAGAACGUGGAAUACAAAAACAUAAAACUAAGUAAACUUGUAUUGGCCUUAAUGUGGAUAUACAUAUGGAUUUUCGUUCUUUGUUUGCUGCAGAUUGAAGGUUUGCAAAGGCAUCCAAGAUAUGGAGCUCGGGUUGAGCAUCGUGCAUAUAGAAAUAUGUUUGACGCCUUGAAACGGAUAUUACAGAAAGAGGGUUGGGCUGGUCUGUAUAAGGGGAUAGUCCCGUCUACUGUUAAAGCUGCACCAGCUGGUGCUGUAACUUUUGUUGCAUAUGAAUUGACAUCAGAUUGGCUGGAGUCUAUUUUGACUUGAUUUUUUAUACACUCCAAGAUAAAGGAGAGGGUUUCAUGGUUUUUUUUUUUAAUCAUGCUGUCUCAAUUAAUUACCUCUUGAUAGGAAUGAAUCAUGCGGUAUAUGGUGGUUUAAUUCAAUCAAAAUAUACCUGAUAUGAUUCAAUUUACUUUUCAAUAUGGAAACAGUUUAAAAUAAAAGCUAAGAUGUUGCCUAGUGACACAUUUUACUUUUACUAAUUGGUGUGCUUCAGCUACUGAGAUGGUUAUUAUUCUUGUUAAGGUGAUUUUAAAUUCAAAAUUUAUCCAAAAUUUCACAGCAUUUCCUUCUUUCAACUAUAUCUCGGACAAAUCAGGGUUUCAAGAUUUAACAUAUGACAGGUUUUGCUUAAGUCGGAAGUGGUUAAUAUUCAUAUUUUCUAACAUCAGAGUCCACCAAAUGGUUUCGGUAUUUGAUAUAGUGCCUUUUCCCAGAUAAAACUCAAGCUCAAUAUGCGAGUGAUAUAAUCACACAAGUUAAGAACAUAAACAUAUAUUUAUGAAUUAUGUUGCUAAGCAAGAUCUUAAUUUGCUUAUAAUAAUUUAUAAAAGAUAAGAGGCUUUCAUUAAAGCAUAUUGUUGUGAAACACAGAAAAAUGAACACACAAUCUCAACAAAUGGGUUACAACCCUUAUUACAAUCAAUUCCCUCUCAAAAGUUAAUUUCCAUCACAACAAUCAAACUUAAUUGUUGAUAUUACAAGUCUUUAUAAAAAAACCAAGGACCUUGGCCGCACUAGUGCUUCUUAAUACAGUGAUUACAGUUCAAUAAAGACCUGAGGCUAGAGUACUCGGCAUUCACUUAUCUGUUGAAAACAACCAAGUAUACUUUUCAAUAGUCAAAACUUAAUCCACAAUUCACUUCAAAUCUAUUUAGAACAGCCUUUGGUCAGAUAGGAAGCAAUUAGCAAUGCUGUGGUAAAGCCAUUUAUCUCAGUGUUUUGUUUUUAUCUUCGCUUCUUCCUUCUGGAGGAUGAGACAGAAAUUGCAAGAUUUUCUGAAUCUGACCAACAUCGACCCGGAAUUUUUCUGCGAUCUGAUGAACAUCCAUAGGCCCAUUGUGGUCAUCAGCCUUGCCUUCAUGCAAGAGGAUGAUAUGGCGCAACUGUGCUACAUUUAAAGUGCCUGCAGGAACCGGCCUUUCCUCAUAAUGACCAGAAUUUGGUUUUGUAUUUCGCAACUUCGGCAUGGGCCUAUUAUACUUCUCAACCACAGAUGCCUGUAAAGAUAUUAUCAAAUUGUAAGAUAGGUUUGUCUCAGUAAACUAUGCACUAAAUAGUAAAGAGCAAUGCGUUGACAAUUGAAACUAUGCAGUCAUUGAAAAAAUAUAGUUUGCAAAAACUUCCGAAAGGGUUUAUUUCUCUCUCUUAGUAAAAUAAGCUUGAUCCAAGCAAAUACCAAGUACGCUGCAAAGCUUAGUCUAAUUGUUAUGUUCCUAUAGCAUUGUCCCAGUACCAUGAAUAAACAUUGACAGAAACCAUAAACUCGGCAUUUACUAUGAACACUGGAGAGAUUUCUCCAUUUAUUGCAAUAUUAGAAACAUAAAGUAUACAGCAAAGUAUUUUAAGCAAAAUAUCAGCUAGUAACAUACAAUCGGAGGUAGGAUUACUUUAGCAAAUUUCUUUUCAUUAAAACUAUAUUUGAAUUAAUACAUGAUAGGAAACUAUGAAAUCGUCUGACAUAUGUAACCAAUCCCGGCUUGGAGGUUUAUUGUUUGUGUUCCUUUCAUCUAACAGCACAAGCCAACAUACAAAAAUGGGAUUUCAUCACUCAUCAAUGCUGAUAAUACCAUCUUCUAAGCCAACAUACAAAAAUUUUUAUUGUUUGAAUUAAUGCCAUCUUUCAUUUAAUACAAUUCCAUUGUAGGUGUAAAUAUCAAAAUGGGUAAGCAUACAUGACAUACGACAUUAAAAAAAAUUACAUCGACAUGAACUCCAUAAAAGGGAGUGAAGGUAACUUCCACAAACUCACCUCACCCAUUUCUCGUUUUCCCCCAGGCUUUGAUGUAAUCCUACCAAGCAUUUGACCAAGCAUAGCAUCAAAUUUGGGAUCUUUUUCUUCUAGGACGUUGUCCAAAUUAGCACUAGGACGAUCAUCUUAAGUCAACACAUGAAAACACCAUCAACAACCAUGAACUAUGAAAGUAGCAUUACAAAACCUCACAUAAAGGUAUAUUGCAAACACACAAUUGUGACUAAGGGAAAACUUCACAGUUAAAAAUAAGCUAUAGGCUACAGCUAGAAAUUUCACAGUUGAAAAUGCAAUGAAGUGGAAGAUUUCAAAGUUCAUGUUAAUUUGCUUGAUAGAGGAAGGAAAUGGACACACGAUUGAAAAUCUACUUCUAAAUAAUAGCCGUUGCAAAGACUAUAAUAACUUUUUUCUUUUGUUACAAGUGCGUGAUGAAAAGUUAAUUCUAACUGUCUCAAAAUAUAUUGUGCUGCAGUUAACUAUUCCACAAUUUGAUUGAAAUUAGAAACAUAAAGUGUAAACUGUAAACUAUAGUUUCACCAAAAUAUUCACCUCUCCAUUUUCUACUACCUCUGUUGCACGGACACUUCUGAUUGAAGACGUGUCCCGGUGUCUGACACAUGUCCUGUCUGACACCAACACGACACACACCAACACGACACACUGACACUUGUGAUUACAUUGAAUUAUGUGAUUUUCUCAAAAUUUUGUCGAUGCCGUCGUGGCCGUGUCAGUGUCUAUGUCCGUGCUUCAAAGUCUACUACCUAUUUCAAGCAAAACCAAGCUGGUCCUAGGUCAUGGAUAUAGUUUCAUGUGAAAAGAUACAGAGUCUAUUUGGGUUGGCUUAUUUGAAGGUUAUCUACUAAUAUAAGUACAUGUGUGGCUGUUUGGGAUAUCAUGUGAAAACAACUUAUGACAUGACCAUAAGCUGUUUUCAGCUUAUUUCCACAAGCUAUCCAAGACAGCUAACAACUUAUAAUCUAAAUGAAAACAUAUUAACUUCAUUUUAUCCUUUGUUGUGGAAAUAACUUGCACAUAAGCACUCAUAUGGUAAGCAAAUAUGCUAUAGUAAGUGCUUAAUGAAAUGGUUUAUCUCAAUGGUAAAUUAAAAAACAGAACUUUCAACUGAAUAAUGAUAUUCACAAACCACCACAUUGUUCAGGGCCUUAGAAUCUUUGAAGUACCCAAUAACAUUUUCGAAUAUCUACAAUGGCAUAACCCUAACCAACAAAAAAUUAAAACUAGAAACAAAGAGAAAGAGAGACUAACCAUCGUUCAAUGAGUCUUCUACUCCUUUUACGGUCUUUGAGCUAUCUGCUGCCUUGUCAGUGGCAACCUUCGGCGGCGGUGGUCGGUGGUCGACGGCGAUCUUGGGCUUGGACAAGGAUGACGUGUCAGUUUCGGAUGCGGCACGGAUUCUGCCAGAUGCUCGACGAAAUGCCUGACCCAUUGUUAAACUCAGGCUUAUUGUUGUUCGCUACGAAAUUCGAUUGAUUAAUUCGUUAUUAUAGUUACAACCGUAAACAUCAUUGAAAACUAUGAAAGUUUGUAGUUGUUGUAGAAAAAAUAGAACCCCUGCGGUUUGUUGUUGUUGUUCCUGUUCGUGUUUACAAAGAAUAGCAUCAACCGAGAGUGACGUGGCCAGAGCCUAGAACGCAAGUUUAAACAACAUCAAAUUUAUUUAUUUUUGCUUAUUUUUAAGAGGUAAACAAUUACUUCUUUUUUUUUUUUGUCAAUUUAUGAAUCUUGUUAGUAAUAAAUUUAAAACUCAAAUUGAUAUAAUCCAAAAGAUCACAUAAAUUGUCUAUAUAGUAAAGUCAAGACAUCAAAAUUAAACCAAGACUACAUGCAUAUAAAACUCAAAUAUAUGUAGGAUUUGAUUUCACUCCGAGAACGGGAAUUAUAUAUAUUAAAAAAAAAUUCUACAUUACCCUCAUUUGUUUAGAGGGUAUUUACCCAUUCAAGAUAUCAACCAAUCAAAAUGUAAUAUACAAAUGUAAAAUUAAAUGUCAAAUAAAUGAGUCAAUUUUUCUAUAAAAAAAUCAAUUUUAAUAAGGUAACUUUUAUUUUUUUAUUUAAUUAUAUUUAAGUAUACAAUAUUAAUUAAUUUACACUAUAGGCUUGUGACAAUUAAAAUUUCACAUCAAAUUCAACCCAUCAGGAUGUGUUUGGUAACACGAAUUAGCUAGCUUAUAGCUUGUUGGACUAGCUUAUAAGCUUGUUUUGAUAUAAUAAGAUGUGUUUGGUAAAAAGCUUUUGUCACUAGCUUAUAGCAUUUUUUUAGAAGUUAUUUCAAGUAGCUUUUGAGCUUAUAGCUGGUAGUUAUUUUAUAUUUUCUUCCAAUUUUAACCCUAUUAAUUUAAUUUAAUUAUGUUUUAAUAAAACAACAUGUUCAUGGCUUAAAAAUAAUGGCCAAGUUCAUAGCUUAUUUUUUUAAUAAAACAACUGCCAUGUUUUCUCCUUUGAAAAAAAUUGUCAUGCUUUAUUUUAUUUUUUAAUGAACGCUUUAUAUUUAAAUAUAACUAGCUUACAGUACGUUGUAAAAUUUUAUAUAUUCUUGCUUGCAUUUUUUUUUCCACCUUCCUCUAUUUUUGGGAUUCAUAAAAGUACAUAUCAAUGAGCUUUUGCCCUCUUUUGUACAAAAAAAAAAAAAAAAACAGAGAUCAAAAUUGUCGGUGAAAUUUUAUUGGAGACUAAAACCAAAAGUUUGAAUAUUUAUAGGGAAUCAAAACAUAGUUAACCAUAAAUUAAAAUAUUAAAAAAUAAAUACCUUAGAAAAAAUGUGUGUAUAUAUAUAUAUAUAUACACAUACACAUGUACUUUUAUGUCAUUUUAUAUUUAUCAGCCACUUCAACAUCUAAUUUUACCAAACACUUCAAUUUUAAUAAACCAUAUUUUCAGAUAUAAGCUAUCAGUUAUAAGACAUCAACUAUAAGCUAGUUUUUCAGCUUUCAGCUAACUUAUAGCUUAUUUUUUUACCAAACACACCCCACAUACGUUCAUAAAUUUUGUUCAGUUCCAAAAUAUAGAACAUACAUAACGUGCAAUUUCUUCUUCAUUCUUCUUCCCAUCUUGAUUGUUCAAUUCUCUCGUUCCAGAAUUGCCGUCGUUUCCAUUUAUCGUGAGAAUCGUUUUCGUCCAUUUGAUUCCAGACAUUGUGAGAAUCGAUGUUGUUUCCAAAAGCUAUAUCCACAAAUUGCUCACGAAUUAACGCUCACCAUAUGAAAUUCAUGUUUGUAUUAGCAUUAUUUAUUAUUUAUUUAUUUCAUUUUGUCUUCUCUUCCAUAGCUUUAACCGACCUCACACCGUGUUCGCAAUCUCAACAAAUUUUCAUUUCAGCAACACAAAAUUCACCAGCAGGAUCAGAAACAACAUAACAACAUAAUAUAAUGAUUUGAAUAAAACAAAUUCCAAAAGUAAAUUUAAUAAUCAAUAUUGUACCAAAAAUAAAAUUAAUAAUCAACGCAUUGAAUCUUAAUCAAAUGCAAAAUGUGUGAUAAAAUACAAUUUUAUAUAAUCUCAAACAACUCAAUCAAACUCAAAACCCAAAUAAAAAUGAAAACAUCAUGGGAAUUCAUGUCAAAGUUGAAAGUCACCAAUGUCGCAUUAUAAAUGUGUUUUGGUUGCAAUCAAGUCACGACAGUAGUGAGAAAGAAACGAAAAUGAAAAAUCAAAUCAAGAAGAAAAAUCAAGUCACGAUACCUUAUGUGAUUAUUGAAACAACACCAAUUACUCACAAUGUCUGGAAUCAAAAGGACGACAACGAUUCUCACGAUAAUUGAAAACGACGACGAUUCUCGAACGAGAAAAUUGAACAAUCAAGAUGGGAAGAAGAAUGAAGAAGAAAUUGCACGUUAUGUGUGUUCUAGGUUUUGGAAUGGAACAAAAUUUAUGAACGUAUGUGAGGUGUGUUUGGUAAAAAUAAGCUAUAAGUUAGCUGGAAGCUGAAAAACAAGCUUAUAGCUGAUGUCUUAUAACUGAUAGCUUAUAUCUGAAAAGAUGGUUUAUUAAAAUUGAAGUGUUUGGUAAAAUUAGUUGUUGAAGUGGCUAAUAAGUAUAAAAUGACAUAAAAGGACAUGUUUAUAUAUAUAUAUAUAUAUAUAUAUAUAUAUAUAUAUACAUUUUUUCUAAUGUAUUUAUUUUUUAAUAUUUUAAUUUAUACUUAACUAUGUUUUGGAUCCCUAUAUAUAUUCAAACUUUUGGCUUUAGUCUCCAAUCAAAUUUCACCGACAAUUUUGAUCUCUACUUUUUAUUUUAUUUUUUUACAUAAGAGGACAAAGGCUCAUUGAUCUCUAUAAGCUAGCUUAUUCGUGUUACCAAACACAUCCAUGAUGGGUUGAAUUUGAUGUGAAAUUUUAAUUGUUACAAGCCAUAUAGUGUAAAUUAAUUAAGAUUGUAUAUCUAAAUAUAAUUAAAUAAAAAUUAAAAGUUAUCUUAUUAAAAUUGAUUUUUUUUAUUAGAAAAAUUGACUCAUUUAUUUGACAUUUAAUGUUACAUGUAUAUUACAUUUUGAUUGGUUGAUAUCUUGAAAGGGUAAAUACCCCCUGAACAAAAGAGGGUAAUCUAGGCCUCACCUAUAUUAAAUGGAUGGCUUGCAAAAGAGUUCCAUCACCACUAAGGUACACCUAUGCCUAUUUUUUUUUUAAAACAACCUAGUUCUUCUGUACAUGGAAAUAGAUUAAUGAUCUUAACAAUCAUGCUCAGAUAUCUUUCAAAAUUCAUCCAUUCAUGAUUACAUUAGAAUAACAUAGGCUUUCAGGUCAUUGGAUACAACAAACAUUUUAGUUGCCGCCACUCAGUGUUUGAACAAUGGUGUUGUGCCAUGGGUCUGAAAGGUGCUCCAAGAGGUUAUCAAAUCGUCCUUUUCCUGUGACAUUGUGCUGACUGAUAAAUCCCAAGAAUGCCAACAUUGCCAAUCUACCGUUAGAAAUUUCCUUCUCUUUAGCCUCCAAAGUUGGUGCAAAGUUCAAAGGGUUAAAAAUUCCACUGGGGUAACCAACCUCACCCUUUGGCAAGCUGUAUUGCUUGAAGAUAGGAUCUUGGUUGCCUAUUUUCCAAGUGUUAAGUCCUGCAAUUUUCAAGCAUAAUUAAAACAAUCACUAUGCUACAUAUACCAAGACUAUUUCAAAAUAUUUAUCUUAUUGGGUUCAGUCUUUUCUAUCAAGCAUUUUGCUAAUAUGAUCAUGCAGAGUAAUAUAGCCUUGCAUAUACUAAAUUUGAUCAUUAGAAUUCAUCAGAUGGAAAAGAUAAGCAUUAUGGUAGCAGUGCACACCUCCUUCACUUAAGUGACAUUGAUAUAGCAUUAGGCUUAAUAUGACCACAUAUAGAUUUCAUUUAUAAACUUUGACAGAAAAGCAUGGUCAUAUAUAAUGAAAAUGGUUUUAGCUACACAAAGUGACAUACAUGUGCAUAAUUUUAUAUUUUUAGAGUAUCCUUCUUUGUACUAUAUAAUACUAUAGCAGCACUUUGGUUGAUUUGACUUAAUCAAAAUUAAUAUAGCAACACUUUAAUUGCAAGGACAAAGCAGAUCAACAUCAAUUCAUCAUCUAAUACAAUAAGUACAUAUUUAUAUCAAUAUGCAUUCAUGUAGAAAACAUGUCAGAAAUAAAAUAUAUAAACUAUAGUUUAUAAACAUCAAAAUACAUGCUGAUUUUCAUUAUGUUAAAAUACUAAAUUGAAAAUAUUAGGUACACAAAUUGUUAUAAACAUCAAAAUCAAAAUCAAACUUGAAUUGGAAUAGUAUAACUAAUAUUGGAAUUGUCAAUGAAAUCGUAAAACAAAAUCGAUAUUAAAUCGAGAAAGAACAAAUUGAGUAAGAAAUUGAGAAAGAACAAAUUGCAUACCUACAUGGACGGUGGUCUUCAUAUGACGGUGCCAGAAGCAGAGGCGAUGAGGGUUUUAAAAACUUGGGUGAUUAAAAUUGUUGUGGUUACUAGUGAAAACGAUUAGGUUUUCAAUGAUGAAAUUGAAAGGAGGCGAUGGGAGGAGAAAUGAGAGAAGAGGCAAAUCUACUUUUUCCUUUUUCAAAAUAAAGAGAAAGAGAACGCUUAACCUGAAGAAGAAAGGGGACAUUGGAAACUGAUAAAAUAAUUAAGCGUGAGAAAUAAAAGCGUGAGAAUCAAAGUGGAAUGUUGAUUAGGAAUACCACUUAGAAGGAUUUAAUGCUAUCACAAUGGAGGGAAAAAUUAGAGUUGAAUUAGGGUAAAUGAUAGCUUGACCAAACAAGAGAAAGAUCACAAUGGAGGGAAAAAUUAGGGUUGAAUUAGGGUAAAUGAUAGCUUGACCAAGCUUUAGUAAGAGAGUAUUGCUGUUGACACAUUAUGUUUGGCUGAGAAACACCAGUAAAAUACCAAAAUACCCCCUCUGCAGUUAACUGCCGAGCAAAAAUAAAACCGGCUGCAGUUAACUGCCGAGGAAAACCUCGGCAGUUAACUACCGAGGAAAACGAAAAUCCAGAAUUAUCAUCAUCAUGUUCAUGCUCAUGAAAUUUUUGGAUUUGAUUGUUGAUUUAAUUGUGAAUUGGGAUUUGAAUUGAUUUUUUUCCUGUUAUGAGUCGAAAUCAAGAUUUAAUGUAGAUUUAAAUCUUUCUAUGAAGUGAACAGCAGGAAGUACAAAGAAUCAAUUAGAAGCAGUUUCAAAUGGAAAGGCAAUAAUUAGAAGCAAUUUCUAUGAAUUGAUUUGAAUCUUGUUUAUGCCACCAAUAAGCAGUUUCAAAUGGAAACGUAAAAAUUAGAAGCUUUAUUGUUUCCCUGUGAAUUAUUUCCUUUUGUUGUUUAACGGAAAAUGUAGACUUAAUGGUUGAAAGUAGAUUUGGAUCUGCUUCUGCAACGAAAUCGGUUGAGGGGAGGCAGGAAGUUUGAUCGAUUUGAGCUUUGAAUUGGGGUUUAUCACCCCCACUGACAACGAAGAUGAUGAUAAUUUAUGCCAAACAUGAUGUGUCAACAGCAAUACUCUUAGUCAGAAAGAUAAGCUUAUAUGACAAAAAAAAAACUUGUUAGAUAACUUAUUUUUCUUACAAUCUUAUAUCUUAUUUUUCUUAGUUUAUAUAUUAUCAUUUUUUAUGUCCUUUUUAUCAAUCAUACAAAUUAAAUCUGGUAGUUUAUCCGUUAUAAGUUCACUUAUGGAUAAUAAGUUUAUAUCGAAUUACUUAUGAGUUAGUUUAUUAUCCGCUGUGUUUUGCCAAAUAGAGCUCUAAGACACUCUCGCUAAUAAAUAAUUAGAACAUUUUAUUUCAUUUACAAUUUUAUGAAUAAAUUUCUCUAAGAGAACACAUGAUUGUUAAUUAAAUUACUUAAUAAAAGUUCGUAAAAUAUAUCUCAACUAAAAAUGAUGCGAUUGUUGGACCGGAUAUUUUCUGAUGUUAUCCGAGUUUAAACUAAGGAUCUUCCUUUGUGUGUUUUAUGAGGUGAUUGAUAAUAAUAACUAAUAAAAAAAUGUUUAGGGCUAAACCCUAAACCCUAACAAAUAUCUAAUUAUCAAUAAAUGAUUCUAUUGUUCAAAAUCAAUUUUGAGGAUUUAAUGGAUCUGAAUCCUAUAGAGGUCACACCUUGCAGGGUCAGUAUGGAUGGAUUUGAAUUGGAUAUGAGUUUAGAAUUUAUCUCUCUUAUAUCUUACAGCUGAGUAGUAGAAUUUUACAGUGCAGUUAAACUACAACAUCUUAUUAUAAUAAAAAGAAAAUCAAACUACAACAUUGGCUUUCCAUCAGCUUGUUGUGUGCAUGGUGAAUCUUACAUUCGCCUCCUCUUCUUGCUCGUAUCCUCUUCAUACUUAUCGACAACAGCUUCCAAUGCUCUCUUUGUUGGUUUUGAAGGUCUUCUACUCUUCCUCGGAGUUUCUACAGCUUGAUUCCCGAUGUGACCCUCUGAUGUUGGAACUGUAACAGCAUUAGAGUCAUCAAAUUUGACCUCAGCAGGAACUUCAUUCACCAUAGUUUCAUCACCAUCAACUUUUUCAAAGGUCACUGCUAAGUUAAGAUCAAUAGUAGUUUCUACUGAAGGAGUUUUUUCAAAGUUGGCAGAUGCUCCACUAGUGCUCCCCUUAUCCAAGUACCUUACAGCAACGUAAUCGGAUUCCUUUAUCUGCUUCCCUUUAGAGUCUUUUCUAUCAGAAUCAUUUUUCGAAGCAGGAUCUUUGAUUAGUAGAGGGUAUGCAGCAACUUCAUCGAGGAGUUCUUUGAUAGAAUCAAAAUAAUCAACACCCUUCACGAGUUUCCUCGAAUAUUCUUCAAUUCCAGGGACAAUGAAAAUUAUAGCACUCUUAUUAGAAAGAAGACUACUAGGUUGCUCUGAAUGCCAACCGUUUGCUAGUAAACGAGGCCAAACAGACUCCCAGAAAAUGUCGCUUGCUUGCGUCUUGCUUAUUCUAAAAUCACCUGAAAGGAUGUGUACUAUUUCUAUAUAUGAUGUAAUCUUGGAGAAAUCUUUUUCUUCAAGAAUUUCAUAGAUAGACUUCAUAGCAUUUCCUUCAAGAUUUGUAGGAUCAUUUUGUGUACCAAUUCCUACUGCAUCGACAAAAGCUUCAACUCCAACUACAUCCUUCAAAGCAAAAACGUAGUCUUCGAGCGGCAAUUUUCCUCCCCAAAAAUUCUUACACACCUACAAAUUCCAAUGUGAUUGAAUUUAGUUUUAGCAAAUAACACAAUUGUAAGUGAACAUUCAUUACAACAAUAAUUUGUCAAAAAAAUAAAUAAAUUCAUUACAACAAUAAAUCUAAGCCAACAUACUAGAAAAGGGUUUCAAUUUGUAGAAGUGGUGUUCCAAUGGUAUAUAGACAAGAAUAAUGUGAGCUAUUUGAUCAUGAAUUUAGUAGGGAUUUGGAUCCUCUGCAUGCAACUAUGCAACAAUAUUUUGUUUAACCAGAACAUAAUAUUGAUGUGAAGUGAUAACACUUUUUCACAUGAAAAAUAUUGUCACACUAUUGUAGCAGGGGAGAGGAUUCAAAUUCAUCUAUGAGUGAUGUGUUAGUACUGUUUAUGAUUUUAUGUAAUGAUGAAAUGAAAUAGGAUAUAUAAACUUAGGAAUAAUUCAAUGCAGUAAUUACCUCGAAUAUUUUAUUGCACCAUUCCUCGGACUCAUUGUUGAGUAAAUGACGCAAAAUUUGUUGAUGAUGUGUUGGUUCUGACAUAAGUUUUCCCUUACCUUCAUUAUCUUUUAUUGCUUUCUUAUAUGCAUGCCACCUUAUAUGAUUCUCUGACUUGUAGAAUUUUGCAUAGUAGAAAAAUUGUACUUCACCUAUGGUCUUGCUACCAAUGAAUCUUUUCAGUUGAGAAAAGUUUUUGCCAAAUAUAAACAAUCCAAGCAUUAAACUGUCUACUUCUGGUUUAGUCCAAGUAUCAUUUGAACAUUUGUUGAAGGUAGGUGUCUUUGUAGUAUCAUCUGGACUCUCUGGAGAAUAAUUGCAGUCGAAUUUCAAUAUGAAAGAUGGAAUUUCUGCUUGGUAUUUGUUUCCAAUCCGAAUUAAUUUUUCGUCUCUUUGAUCUUCAAUGUUAUCAACUUGAACCAUAGUUUUCUGUAAAAAUAAAUUAAAUAAAUUUUAAGAAGAAUAAUUUUAAGAAGAUUGUAAGCAAUAGAAAAAUCUUGUGUAUUUACUAAAGUCAUGCAUCUGAGACCAUCUGAAUAAAAUUAUACGAUUAAAGUUUCAACUACAUUUAUGUGAUUUAUGAAGUCAAAAUGUGAUUUAUGAAGUCAAAAUGUGAGAUGUAUGAUUAUGACAAUGACAAAUAUGUGCACUCACUCUAAAAUAUAGUAUUUAUUAAUGAAAAUAAUAAAUGUGUGUGAUUUUCAACAAAUAAAAAUGCGAGUUGAUAAAAACCUAAUGUAUGGUUCUCAACAAUCCGAUACUACUAAGGAGAACCCUAAUUCCUACACUCAAUUUUUCAAAGGUUUUACAAAAAAAAAACUACUACCUGACACUGACUAUUAAUGAAAACUACUAAUGCGAGUUGAUAAAAAACUACUAUUAAUGAAAAACAGUUUCAUCAAAAUAUUGCCAAAAGAUAAUUCUUGGACAAGGGAAAACCAUAACCCAAACUUAAUCAAUUAAUCAAAUCAGUUCUAGUAAAAAAAAAAAAAAAAAAAAAAAAAAAUGAAACAUGAGGAACCGCGAUCAGAAGUCUAUGAAUUUACUACAAAUCGAGGAAUUUCAAUGGUCAUGUUUCUCUGAGCAAAGAAUCAAUCACUUCAAAAAAUGGUAUCAUUCAAAGAAAAAACUAUAAUCGAGCAACAAUCAUUGAUGAAAAAUAAUUAAAAAUAUAUACAUCAAAACGACAUAGAUAAAAGCAUGAAGAAACAUAAUAGCACAGGCACCCCAUUGGGGUUUUCGGUGAGAAAUAUAAAUAAAAAAAUAAUCCAAUGCGAUCCAAGAUUUAGAUUAUUCACUCAACAUAAAAAAGAAAUCGAUGACAUAUUCACUACAUUAAAUUGUACAACUCCAAUCAAAGCAUGGUGGCAAAGCCACAAUACUAGAAGAAAAAAAGGAAAGAAAAAAAAAACCUAAAAGGUGAAAGAUAAAACGAGGAGAUUCGUAGUAUUACCUCCGUUGUAGAAGCUAGAGAAAGCUCUAGAACGAUGAAGAAGCUAGCUUGAAAAGGGGUGUUUAUCGUUACACACCUAGUGAAUUACAAACAAUGCAAAAAACAUGAACAAGAAGAGUCGUCUACAAGGACACAAUGCACAUAUACGACUUAGUGCAAUUUGAAGGAGGGAGGGAGGGGGAGAGAGAGGGGGAGAGAGAGAGACUUGUGUGCGUUAAGGAAGUAACGCCUUGGAUGCGAAAGAAAUAUAUGUAAUGAGUAGAAAGAAAGAAAACAAAUAUGAUGUAUAUACCCACGUAUAAACGAAAUGCUUAGUUUUGUUUUUUUUGUUUUUUUUUGCGUUAACUAUUCGAUUACAGGAGAAAGGGGUCCUGAUAAUCCAAAAUUUGGCCAUGAGAUAAGGAUAGCAUGACCAAAAAUUGUUUCACCUAGGAAUCGAACUUGGGAACAAUUCGUCCUUGAUGAAGUUCAUUAACCACCUAAGCUUCCGAUUAUACAUUUCAUUUAAACUAUUAUAUUUUUAAUUUUACACUUUUUAUAAUAUUGUUUAAAUCUUUUAAUUAAAAAAUUAGAUAAAUGUUAUUGUAAUAAAAAUAAUAUCACUACAAAAUUAUUUUAUUCUAGCCAUUACGUUACUUGACAAAAAAAUUAUAUUUUAAAACCAAAUCUUCAUCCGUUGACAUUUGAAGUUUAAAAAUCUCUAUGCAAAUGUGGACGAAAGACUAAAAUAAAGUUUAAAAAAAAAUAAAAUAAGGGACUAUCAUUUCCUAAAAGUAAGUCAAGGUAAUAAAGAAAAAGUUUUGCCUUCUUUUUUUAAAGGAUAAUGAGGGGCAAAGGCAUCAAAAGAGGAAAACAUCUCAACUAUGAACUACUAUUUAAUUUAAAUAAAAAUGGAAAUCAUAGAAUGGAAAAUUAUUAAUUCUUAAGUAUUUGGUUUUUUAAGUAAAAAAAUAAAAAGUAUCGGGUGUCUUAAAAAAAAUAAAAAGUCACAAUCCAACAAAUAAUUGAAACUUAACAUAAAGUAUACAACACUUGCUAUUUCUCAAUGCUAAGAAUUUAGCAUUACAACCUCAAAAUACCGAGUUCAAAUCUCAUUUAAAGAUAGAUAUGAUAGGUUGUUUGAUCUUCCUGUUAAUAAAUUAUCCACAAUUGUGGAGAUGUUCUCUUUAGGGUGGAAAAUAAAUGGUAAGGCGUGGGAGUGGCGUAGGAGUUUGUUUGCGUGGGAGGAAGGGUUGGUGAGGGAGUGUGCGGAGCAACUGUCACUUAUUGUUUUGUAGGUUGGAUGUGACUGAAAUGUGGAUUUAGAAGCUUCAUUCUU